rnacentral:tRNA from 1 species
AAUUAGAAAGCGAAUACUUGCAUUUAGUUUCGACCUAAACUUUGACUAUAAGUCUCUAAUUA